rnacentral:rRNA from 1 species
GGCAAACGGGUGAGUAAACGAAGCUUAGCUGUCCUAAAGUGGGGGAUAGCCGCGGGAAGCCGCGGGUAAUACCGCAUGUGAUCUACGGAUUAAAGCUUAAUGCGCUUUAGGAGGUGGCUGCGGCCCAUCAGGUUGUUGGCGGGGUAAUGGCCCACCAAGCCUAUGACGGGUAUCCGGCCUGAGAGGGUGAUCGGACACAUUGGAACUGAGACACGGUCCAGACUCCUACGGGAGGCAGCAGCUAGGAAUUUUCCGCAAUGGACGAAAGUCUGACGGAGCAACGCCGCGUGAAGGAUGAAGGUCUUUAGGGAUUGUAAACUUCUUUUAUAUGAGACGAGUAAGGACGGUAUCAUAAGAAUAAGUCCCGGCUAACUACGUGCCAGCAGCCGCGGUAAUACGUAGGGGGCUAGCGUUGUUCGGAAUUACUGGGUAUAAAGGGUGCGCAGGCGGAUUUCUAAGCAAGAGGUGAAAUGUCAAGGCUCAACCAUGGCACUGCCUUUUGAACUGGUUAUCUGGAGUACAGAAGGGGAGAGCAGAAUUUCCGGUGUAGGGGUGGAAUCUAUAGAUAUCGGAAGGAAUACCGUUCGCGAAGGCGGCUCUCUGGUCUGCUACUGACGCUCAUGCACGAAAGCGUGGGGAGCAAACAGGAUUAGAUACCCUGGUAGUCCACGCCGUAAACGUUGUACACUUGGUGGUUGGAUUUAAAAUCUGACUACCGGAGCUAAUGUGUUAAGU